UACGAAGGGACCAAGCGUUGUUCGGAUUUACUGGGCGUAAAGGGCGCGUAGGCGGCAAAUUAAGUCAGCUGUGAAAUCUCCGAGCUUAACUCGGAACUGUCAGCUGAUACUGAUGUGCUAGAGUGCGGAAGGGGCAAUCGGAAUUCUUGGUGUAGCGGUGAAAUGCGUAGAUAUCAAGAGGAACACCUGAGGUGAAGACGGGUUGCUGGGCCGACACUGACGCUGAGUGCGCGAAAGCCAGGGGAGCAAACGGG
rnacentral:rRNA from 1 species